CCUAGGGUUUGAUUUUUCCAUAUGUUGGAGUCCAAAAUCAAAUCCUAAGUUGUAAGACAUCUGAAGAGUGUCUUCUUGGCAUGAUUCUGGUGAUAAGAUCGAAAGCAACUGGGCUUUGGUGUGAUCAUUCCUCGAGUUCGAAGCCAGCAGUGUUCUUGAGAAGAUAAGGCUGCAAAUUUGUACUGGUUAGGAAGGACCUUGGCCAACUUUCAUGUGGAUCAUUGUUGGAGGGCUUCUACUUUGGCAUCUUGUGG
rnacentral:lncRNA from 1 species